rnacentral:rRNA from 1 species
UAGGGAAUCUUCCGCAAUGGGCGAAAGCUUGACGGAGCAACGCCGCGUGAGUGAUGAAGGUCUUCGGAUCGUAAAACUCUGUUCUUAGGGAAGAACAAAUGUGUAAGUAACUAUGCACGUCUUGACGGUACCUAAUCAGAAAGCCACGGCUAACUACGUGCCAGCAGCCGCGGUAAUACGUAGGUGGCAAGCGUUAUCCGGAAUUAUUGGGCGUAAAGCGCGCGUAGGCGGUUUUUUAAGUCUGAUGUGAAAGCCCACGGCUCAACCGUGGAGGGUCAUUGGAAACUGGAAAACUUGAGUGCAGAAGAGGAAAGUGGAAUUCCAUGUGUAGCGGUGAAAUGCGCAGAGAUAUGGAGGAACACCAGUGGCGAAGGCGACUUUCUGGUCUGUAACUGACGCUGAUGUGCGAAAGCGUGGGGAUCAAACAGG